GGUGGCUCUGUGGUAGAGUGCUUGCCUUGCAUGCAUGAUGUCCUAGGUUCAAUUCCUCAGCACCA
rnacentral:tRNA from 1 species